rnacentral:rRNA from 1 species
UACAGAGGUCCCAAGCGUUGUUCGGAUUCACUGGGCGUAAAGGGUGCGUAGGUGGCGAGGUAAGUUUGAUGUGAAAUCUCCGAGCUCAACUCGGAAACUGCAUUGAAUACUAUCUUGCUAGAGGGUUGGAGGGGAGACUGGAAUUCUCGGUGUAGCAGUGAAAUGCGUAGAUAUCGGAAGGAACACCUGUGGCGAAAGCGGCUCACUGGACCACAACUGACGCUGAUGCACGAAAGCUAGGGGAGCAAACAGG